rnacentral:rRNA from 1 species
CCUACGGGGGGCAGCAGUGGGGAAUAUUGCACAAUGGGGGAAACCCUGAUGCAGCGACGCCGCGUGAGUGAAGAAGUAUUUCGGUAUGUAAAGCUCUAUCAGCAGGGAAGAAAUAGCGACCUUUGGGUCGCCAGACGGUACCUGACUAAGAAGCCCCGGCUAACUACUUGCUAGCAGCCGCGGUAAGACGUAGGGGGCAAGCGUUAUCCGGAUUUACUGGGUGUAAAGGGAGCGUAGACGGCAGCAUAAGUCUGAAGUGAAAUGCCGGGGCUUAACCCCGGAACUGCUUUGGAAACUGUGCAGCUAGAGUGCAGGAGAGGUAAGUGGAAUUCCUAGUGUAGCGGUGAAAUGCGUAGAUAUUAGGAGGAACACCAGUGGCGAAGGCGGCUUACUGGACUGUAACUGACGUUGAGGCUCGAAAGCGUGGGGAGCAAACAGGAUUAGAUACCCCAGUAGUC